rnacentral:tRNA from 1 species
AGCCCUGUAGUGAGUGUCACGUCAAAUUGCAAAUUUGAAAAAGUUCCUAUUUGGUUCCAGGGCUU